rnacentral:rRNA from 1 species
AGCGAACGCUGGCGGCAGGCCUAACACAUGCCAGUCGAACGAACCUUUCGGGGUUAGUGGCGGACGGGUGAGUAACACGUGGGAACGUGCCUUUAGGUUCGGAAUAACUCAGGGAAACUUGUGCUAAUACCGAAUGUGCCCUUCGGGGGAAAGAUUAAUCGCCUUUAGAGCGGCCCGCGUCUGAUUAGCUAGUUGGUUGAGGUAAUGGCUCACCAAGGCGACGAUCAGUAGCUGGUCUGAGAGGAUGAUCAGCCACAUUGGGACUGAGACACGGCCCAAACUCCUACGGGAGGCAGCAGUGGGGGAUCUUGAGGAAGGGGCGAAAGACUGACGCAGCCAUGCCGCGUGAAUGAUGAAGGUCUUAGGAUUGUAAAAUUCUUUCACCGGGGACGAUAAUGACGGUACCCGGAGAAGAAGCCCCGGCUAACUUCGUG